AAGAUUGCACAAUGGGGGAAACCCUGAUGCAGCGACGCCGCGUGAGUGAAGAAGUAUUUCGGUAUGUAAAGCUCUAUCAUCAGGGACGAAAUUGACGGUACCUGACUAAGAAGCCCCGGCUAACUACUUUCCAGCAGCCGCGGUAAUACGUAGGGGGCAAGCGUUAUCCGGAUUUACUGGGUGUAAAGGGAGCGUAGGUGGUGCAGCAAGUCAGAUGUGAAAGCCCGGGGCUCAACCCCGGGACUGCAUUUGAAACUGUCGUGCUAGAGUGCAGGAGAGGUAAGUGGAAUUCCUAGUGUAGCGGUGAAAUGCGUAGAUAUUAGGAGGAACACCAGUGGCGAAGGCGGCUUACUGGACUGUAACUGACACUGAGGUGCGAAAGCGUGGGGAGCAAAC
rnacentral:rRNA from 1 species